rnacentral:miRNA from 1 species
AGGCUGAGGGUGGUGAGACUGGUGGGGGGAGGCUCCCACCCCCCACCAGCCUCACCACCCUCAGCCUCCCCCCACCAG